CGAUAGCGUAUAUUAAAGUUGUUGCAGUUAAAAAGCUCGUAGUUGAAUUUUUGCUUGCCGCCGAUGUCGGAACUUCCGUACGUUCGGCGGCGUGCAUCCUUGGGUGGAACCUGUGUGGCAUUAGGUUGUCGUGCAGGGGAUGCUCAUCGUUUACUGUGAAAAAAUUAGAGUGUUCAAAGCAGGCUUAUGCCGUUGAAUAUAUUAGCAUGGAAUAAUAAGAUAGGACCUUGGUACUAUUUUGUUGGUUUGCGCACCGAGGUAAUGAUUAACAGGGACAGUUGGGGGUAUUCGUAUUCCAUUGUCAGAGGUGAAAUUCUUGGAUUUCUGGAAGACGAACUACUGCGAAAGCGUCUGCCAAGGAUGUUUNCAUUA
rnacentral:rRNA from 1 species